rnacentral:rRNA from 1 species
CCCUUAGAUGUCCUGGGCCGCACGCGCGUUACACUGAUGCAUUCAACGAGCCUAUAACCUUGGCCGAGAGGCCUGGGCAAUCUUGUUAACGUGCAUCGUGAUAGGGAUAGAUUAUUGAAAUUAUUAAUCUUGAACGAGGAAUUCCUAGUAAACGCAGAUCAUCAAUCUGCAUUGAUUACGUCCCUGCCCUUUGUACACACCGCCCGUCGCUCCUACCGAUUGAGUGGUCCGGUGAGGCUUUGGGAUCUGAGCGGAAAGAGCGUUUCGCUGUUUCUGCUCGGAAAACUCAGUCGAACCUUAUCAUUUAGAGGAAGGAGAAGUCGUAACA